GUGAUUUAGAUAGAGAGCGUGCAGUUGCAAUGGCAAAAGUUUGGGGUGAAAAUUGGAGAGAGAAAAGGCGAGCCAAUGCAAUGGGUAGCUUUGAUGGUACAAAUGAGUAAUGGUUGCAGUAGAAGGCCAAUUCAUGUUGCUUUGAUCUGGGCAAUAUAUGUUAUAUGCUUCCAGUGGACAUCAUGAAGAAAAAAAGAAGUUGCAGAUACAGCGUCCAUAACUGUCUUGGUUUCCAUUUCCACCCAGAAAAUAAGACUUGUUGUAUCCAACUUUGACUGCUGUUGUUUUGUCCUGUAUCAUUCUUGUAGUCGAGUAUGAAAUUGAAUGCUUCAAUUAUGUGGUUGAAGGAAGGAAACACAGAAUUAAAGCAAGGUUCACGGAAAGUGGGUAGCGUUUGGUUUCAGGCAUUUACAGGAAACCCCACUGCAGAAUUGAUGUAUGCGACAUGUCAAUCUAUGUAUUUAGGACUUUUUUUUUUGUUUCUUUAAAGUUGUUGUCACAGGAAAUCUGGGAAGAUAGCUAAUUUUUGCCCCUUGUAUCUGUCCUAAUGCGGGGAGACUUGGCGGGUUUGUUGUGGGUAUCUCGUUGGUGUUACAUCUUGUACUCCAUACACAAGACCGUAUCGAAAAACUUCCUGUAUAAGCCGAAACAUGACCCCACUCAGAAAUCCAUACACAAGACCGUAUCGAGUACA
rnacentral:misc_RNA from 1 species